UAUAUUAAUAAAAUUGUAUUAAUUUUAUAUAAAGGUUAUAUAUAUAAUAAAAAAAAUUUAAUCAUUGUAUAGGAAAUAAAUAGGAAAAAUUUUACUAUAAUGUAUAAGUACUGUGAAGGAAAUUAAAUAUUUAUGAUAAAUAAAAGAUGAUAUAAUUUAUUGUAUCUUGUGUUUCAGAAUAUAUUAAAAUUUGCUAUAAAUAUUUUUUGUUUCGAAUUUAAAAGAUUUAAUUAAUUAUAUUAGUUAUUGUAUUAAAACUAUUUAAAAUAAUUAAUUGGUAAUGAAAUGUUAUUCGUUUUUAAGGAUAUCUAGUUUUUUAAUAAAUGAAUUUAAUUCAUAAAAUAGUAAUUGUUUUUAAUUUAUUAUAAAACAUUUGUUAUUUUAACUUUCUUUAGGGAAAAGCUUGGAGAAAUAUUAUUAUAAUAAUUUAGUUAGGAUUAGGGUUUAAUAAAUUUAGAAUUUGUUUUUAAUUAAAAUAUGUUAAAAUUUACCUCUAAUUUACUAGAAUUUAUAGUUUAUUUAAAAUAUUUAUUAAAAUAUUAAGAAUAAUAAGUUAUUUUUAGUAAUUAUGAUUUAAUUAGUAAAUAAUGAAUAUAUAAUUUAAUAUGGUUUUGAUAAUUUAAUAUGAAGAAUUAGGCAAUUGAUUUACUCGCCUGUUUAUUAAAAACAUGGUUUCUUGUUUUAAAUGGGAAAUUUAACCUGCCCACUGAAUAAUUUUGAAGGGCCGCAGUAAUUUGACUGUGCAAAGGUAGCAUAAUCAUUAGUCUUUUAAUUAGAGGCUGGUAUGAAUGGUUGGACGAGGUAGAGACUAUUUUGUAUUAAAAAGUUGAAUUUUGAUUUUGAGUAAAAAGACUUAAAUAUUGUUAAGGGACGAGAAGACCCUAUAGAGUUUAAUAAAUGUAAUUUUAAUUAAGUUUAUAAUGAAUUAUUAAUUAUUAAAUAAUUUAUUUAGUUGGGGUGAUGAAAAGAUAAUUAAACUCUUUUUAGAAUUUAAUAUAAAUUAAUAGAAUAAUGAUCCAUAAAUAAUGAUUAUAAGACUAAAUUACCUUAGGGAUAACAGCAUAAUUUUUUUUGAGAGUUCUUAUCAAAAAAGAAGAUUAUGACCUCGAUGUUGGAUUAAGAUAAAUUUUAGGUGUAGAUGUUUAAAUAAUUAGGUCUGUUCGACCUUUAAAAUCUUACAUGAUCUGAGUUUAAACCGGUGUGAGCCAGGUUGGUUUCUAUCUUUAAUUAAUAAAUAUAUUUUAGUACGAGAGGACCAAAUAUAUAAAAUAAUUUUAUUUAAUUGAUUUUUAAUAAAUUGGA
rnacentral:rRNA from 1 species